AGAGUUUGAUCCUGGCUCAGGACGAACGCUGGCGGCGUGCUUAACACAUGCAAGUCGAACGAGACGAUUGAAAGCUUGCUUUUGAAAGUCGAGUGGCAAACGGGUGAGUAACGCGUAGACAACCUGCCGUAAAGAUGGGGACAACAGUCCGAAAGGACUGCUAAUACCGAAUGUUGUAAAUCUUCCACAUGGAAGACUUACUAAAGGUGGCCUCUACUUGUAAGCUAUCGCUUUACGAUGGGUCUGCGUCUGAUUAGCUGGUUGGUGGGGUAACGGCCUACCAAGGCGACGAUCAGUAGCCGGUCUGAGAGGAUGAACGGCCACAUUGGAACUGAGACACGGUCCAGACUCCUACGGGAGGCAGCAGUGGGGAAUCUUCCGCAAUGGGCGCAAGCCUGACGGAGCAACGCCGCGUGAGUGAAGAAGGGUUUCGACUCGUAAAGCUCUGUUGUCGGGGACGAACGUGGAGACGGCGAAUAGCCGUUUCCAAUGACGGUACCUGACGAGGAAGCCACGGCUAACUACGUGCCAGCAGCCGCGGUAAUACGUAGGUGGCGAGCGUUGUCCGGAAUUAUUGGGCGUAAAGGGAGCGCAGGCGGGAAGGUAAGUCUAUCUUAAAAGUGCGGGGCUCAACCCCGUGAGGGGAUGGAAACUAUCUUUCUUGAGUGCAGGAGAGGAAAGCGGAAUUCCUAGUGUAGCGGUGAAUGCGUAGAUAUUAGGAGGAACACCAGUGGCGAAGGCGGCUUUCUGGACUGUAACUGACGCUGAGGCUCGAAAGCGUGGGGAGCGAACAGGAUUAGAUACCCUGGUAGUCCUAGCCGUAAACGAUGGGCACUAGGUGUGGGGGGACAUUCCCUCCGUGCCGCAGCAAACGCAUUAAGUGCCCCGCCUGGGGAGUACGGCCGCAAGGCUAAAACUCAAAGGAAUUGACGGGGGCCCGCACAAGCAGCGGAGCAUGUGGCUUAAUUCGAAGCAACGCGAAGAACCUUACCAGGGCUUGAAAUCAUGGUGAAGCGGCGGAAACGCCGUGGCCGAGAGGAGCCAUGACAGGUGGUGCAUGGCUGUCGUCAGCUCGUGUCGUGAGAUGUUGGGUUAAGUCCCGCAACGAGCGCAACCCCUGUCGCGUGUUGCCAGCAUUCAGUUGGGGACUCGCGCGAGACUGCCGGCGUCAAGCCGGAGGAAGGUGGGGACGACGUCAAGUCAUCAUGCCCCUUAUGCCCUGGGCUGCACACGUGCUACAAUGGCCGGUACAACGGGCUGCGACGCCGCGAGGCGGAGCGAAUCCCUCAAAGCCGGCCCCAGUUCGGAUCGCAGGCUGCAAUUCGCCUGCGUGAAGCCGGAGUUGCUAGUAAUCGCGGAUCAGCACGCCGCGGUGAAUACGUUCCCGGGCCUUGUACACACCGCCCGUCACACCACUCGAGUCGUCUGCACCCGAAGUCGCCGGCCCAACCCGCAAGGGGAGGAGGCGCCGAAGGUGUGGAGGGUAAGAGGGGUGAAGUCGUAACAAGGUA
rnacentral:rRNA from 1 species